rnacentral:rRNA from 1 species
ACGCUCGACACCUACGGGAGGCAGCAGUGGGGAAUAUUGCACAAUGGGGGAAACCCUGAUGCAGCGACGCCGCGUGAAGGAAGAAGUAUUUCGGUAUGUAAACUUCUAUCAGCAGGGAAGAAAAUGGCGGUACCUGACUAAGAAGCCCCGGCUAACUACGUGUCAGCAGCCGCGGUAAUCUGAGCGGGCUGGCAAGGC